UGCGAAGGAUCCUGAAAGGUAGCCUGGAAAACUUCAGUGUAUGGGCAUAGAUCUCAUGCGCGCGCAUGAGUGGCCAAAGAAUGAUACCUGCCCCUCCUCUCUCAGACUUAGCCACGCCCUUCAUUAGUUCCUGAGGAGAUUUUUGCGAAUGGAGGUUAUGGCAGUUUCAGCAUCGAAUUCCAUUUUUAGCAGGUGUGCUUCCUGACCAAAGAAGUCAGAUGAGUGCAUGACCAGCCCCUGCGAGGACAAGGCUUGGAUUCCCAGGAGCAGACAAGGAACUCUGUGGGCAUACUCCAAGCAAACUGGACCUCCUCUGUCACAGGACAUCCACUGUUUAAGCACCACCACUACCUCAGGAAGUCCACUGUCUGUGUGUCAACUCCACUGUUACAGGACCACAAGUUUCUCAGCACUUCAAUUAUCACAGCACUUCUACUGUUCAGGAGCUCAAGAGUCUCAGCAUCUCAAGUGUCACAGGACCUCAUUUGUCCAAGAACUGGACUGUCCAAGCAACACUACUAUUGCGGGACCUCCACUGUCACAGGACUUCCACUGUAGGAGCACUACAACUGUCUCAGGACACCCACUGUCCUAUAACCACCACUAUCUCAGGAAUUCCACUGUCAUAGCACCACCCGUAGCAACUAAAGUGUUUCAGGACAUCAACUGAAGCAAGAUCUCUCAUGAUUCUGCAACUUCACUGCCACAGGAUCUCUACAGUGACAGGAAUACCCCUGUAUCAGCAAUUCCAAUUUUGCAGGACCUCCACUGUAGCAGAACCUUCAAUUUUGCAGCACCUCCCCUGUAGGUAUAUUGACCUCCACGAUCUCAGUGCCUCCACUUUCAAAGGACCUUCACUCUCACAGGACCGGCACUAUUUCAGUGCCUCCACUGUCGCAGGACCUACCUCUUCACAGGAUCUGCACUGUUGCAGCAAAUGUAAUUUCAAUUUUUCAAAGUCAUUGCUGGUUAUUAGAUUUGAGGCUGAAUGAAAUGUGAUGCUACCUUUGAAAGCAUAAGAAUUUGUUAUAUAGCUCCUGUGAUAAAUGCCGUGUGUGCUAGGACCAGUAACCUAUGGAAGACUUCAUGAGCUCAUACCACUCUCCACCUCACUUUGUGGAAGCUGGUGUUUUUAGAGUGUGAUGAACUUCAGGUGAAUGGAUGCAUUCAGCUGCACCACGCUCUAGAGUGGGCUACACAGCAGUCAUAUUGAGUCCUUGCUGGGAAGAGAAGAAAUCCAGAAGAGGGAGAAGGCUUGGGUUGGGGGAAGAAUCAUAAAAUACUUAGAGGAUAUAAGAAGGUAAGAAUUAUGGGGAACUGGAAAACAGAGCCAGAGGAAGAUUGAGCACAGAGCAUAUUGGGAAGGACAAAGUACAAAUGCGCAUGGGUUUUUCCAUCUGCGUGUUCUCUGGACAAUCUCCCUUGGCCUCAUUUCUGGGAGAAAACUCUUCCUCCACCCCCUUGUAAGGUUUCAUUCUUGAAGGAAAGCAGCAAGACAACUUCAUCAGUAAAUUUUCCCAUUGGAAUUGGUUCAUCCUUUAAUGCCUCUGGGAAAUCCCCAGCUGGGGAAUGUCCUGCUCUCUGCUGAGAGACAGCAGGAAAGUAGGUUGUCCUCUGUUUUCUCGUUGCUACAGCUCUUCUAAGUGUGGCUUAUUGGCGAGUGAAGACACAGGACACUUCUGGUGUGUAUGUAUGCUUUGUUCGCUGUGGGUGUUGUCGGGAGUGUCCUGAAAAGAAGAAGGGCAUGCCCAAUGGCUCUUUGUUUCCUCUUUGACUAGCCUUAUGAUCAUAGGGAGACACUAGGCCAUUGGAAGAUGAGGAGAACAAUGUGUCUAUGUUGUGUUCACUUCUAUUCCUAUUUAGUCCUAGAGGGAAAUCAGCAAGGGUAGAGAAUGGGACCGUAACUGGACAAAGCUGCUGAGCCUGUGUUGUGCAGCAAUUCCUGUGUAUAACUUGCUGUUACAUUAAGCAAUAGGAUCCCAUGUUCUGGCUAUACCUUUUUGAUGCAAUGUAUCUAUAAUAUUUUACCUCAAAACUCAAAAGUCAAUCCAAACUAUGGGCUGACAUUAAGAGGUUAAGCUGCCUCUUCUUACACCCCACAGUGAGCAGGGUACACAGCGGCUACAACCUGUCUUCUGAACUGUUGUAUGACAACAGAGUCAAAUACAACAGUGAAAUAUAAGCCUACUCCUAAGAUCCAUAUGUUGUUUUUUUGUUUUUUGUUUUUUGUUUUUUUUUUUUUUGCACCACCAUAAAGUUGUCCUAGGAAGAGAUCAGGUGCACCAAUAGGGUAAGCACCAUGCUGCCAGUUCAGCAUUUGCCCAGGUUUGUCUUGAGUUGAAGGCCAAAGUCGAUGCUUUUGACUUUUCCGUUCUUCUCUAACAAAAUAUAAUCUGGUUUCAGGUCACUGUGAACUUAUACAAUGCCCAUAGCCAUAGAUAAAGCCUGCUAAUAUUUGCCUAAAUAUUUCCUUGGCUCCUUCCUCCUCUCGGUGGAAAGACUUUCAGAUGUAUUUGUAAAGCUGUAAAAUUGCAACCAGUUUCACGAUAAGUUAUUAGAAUUGUCUCAGACUAAUUGGAGAAGCAAGAUGAUGUUGGGGUGGGUGAAAAACUUCAUUAUAUUUGCCAUGGUCAUGUUUGGCUGGCACCAUUGCUUGUUCUUUGCAUGCACUUUGAUAACCCCUGUAGCAGAACUUCCACUGUCCCGGCACCUGAACUAUCCCAAGACCUCCACAGUCAAAGGACCAAUAUUGUGGUAGGGCGUCUGUGGUCAGGCAACUCCUCUGUCUCAGACCCUCCAAAUUGCAAGACCUUUACGGGCACUGGAAGUCACUGUCCCUAACUUCCACUGUUGUAGUACCUCAACUAUAACAAGGACCUCUACUAUUGUACAACCCCCUUGUCAUAGCACAUCUAUUGUUACAAAGUAGUCCACUGUCAAAGGACCUCCAGGGUCUCAGCCUCUCCACUGUUACAGGAUCUCUACUGUCUUAGGACCGCUGCUGUUGGAGGACCUCCUGUGUCUCAGCAACUUCAGUUUGUUGGAGCUCUCCUAUCAGAGGACAUUUACAUUUGCUGUACUUCCAGUGUCACAGCUGUUAUAAGAACCUCCAUUCUCACAAGACCUCCAGUGUGUCAGUACCUCCACUGUCCAAGGACUUUUAUAUUGUAGGACCCCUACUGUCCUACAGAAUGUCCACUAUCGCUAGAUUUCCACUGUCACAACACCUCAACCCUAUAAGAACUGCAAUUUUGGCAUGACCUCCAGUGUUCUAGCCUCUCCAAUGUCAUAGGACCUCCACUAUCACAGGACAUCCACUGUCUCACAAAGGCCAAUUUAAAGGACCUCUACUAUAACAGGAUAUCCACUCUAGCUGGACUUACACUGUUGCAGUACCUCAACUGUUGCAGGACCAACAAGGUUGCAGGACAUAGACCCUCUCAGCAGCUAGAAUUUGCAGGACUUCUACUGGCACAAAAAUUCCACAGUUGCUGGAGCUCCACUGUCACUGCAAAUGCACUGUCUCAUGAUAUUCACUGUUGCUUGACCAGUAGUGUGGCAGCACCUCCAUUUUUGCCAAGCCCCUCCACUGACGCAAGACUUCUACUUUUGUAGCACCUUCACUGUCCAAGCAAACCAACUCCUGCAGGAUCUCCAUUGCCUCAGAGCAUUCACUAAUGCCAGCCCUCCAAUGUUGUAGGAUAUCCACUUUCACAACAGCUAGAAUCUUGCAGGACCUCUACUGGCAAAGACAGUCCACCGCUUCUGGCUCUCUACAGUCAGUGCCAAUGCACCGAUUCAUGACCUCCAUUGUCACAGGACCUCCACUUUUGUAGGACCUUCACUGUCCAGGCAAACUGCAGGAUCUCCAGUGUCUCAGGAUAUUUACUGGUGCAGAGCCUCCCUUUAUUGCAGACUUCAACUAUUCCAAGGUCAUCUACACUGUCUUAGGACCUCCAAUAUUGCAGGACCUCAAAUGUCCCAGGAUCUCAGGUGACAUAGCACCUCCAUUUUCCCAACACCCUUACUGUCCCAGAACCUCAAUUUUCCCAUGACCUAUUCAGUUGCAUGACCUGCAAAGUUGGAAGAACUGCACCGUAUGAGAGCCUCAACUGUUGCAGGACCUCCAAUGUUGUAGGAACACAAUAUUCACUGGACCUACACUCUCCAUCACCUUCACUUUCCUAGCACCUCCACUCUCACAGGACCUACACUGUUGCAGGAACUCCAUUGUCUGAGCACCUGCAUGUCUCAGGACCUCGAAUGAUCCAGAACCUCUAAUGGUGUAGGACCUCCACUGUCACCAGACUUCCACUGUCUCAGGACAUCCACUGUAUCACCACAUAGACUUUUUCAGAAAUUCUACUGGAACAGGAUCUCCAUUGUGGCUGGUCUUACAUUGUCUUAGGCCUCCACUAUCACAGACUUUCAGAUGAAUUUGUAAAGCUGUAGAACUUCAAAGAGCUCUAUGAGAAGGUAUAGACGUGUCUCAGAUUCAAUUCCUUGGUGAAGCAAUAUGAUUUUGGGGUGGAUUAAUAUCUUCAUUAUAUUUGCCAUGGUCUGGUCUGGGUGGCAUCCUUGAUGCUUCUUUCCAUGCAUUUUGAUAACCAUUGUAGCAGUACUUCCACUGUCCCAGAACCUGCACUACCCUAAGAACUCCCUUGUCACAGGACAUCCACUGUGGUAGUACCUCGGCUGUCAGGAAACUCCACAGUCUCAGUACCUCCAAACUGCGAGAUCUCUACUGGCACAGGAAUUCUACUGUCCCUGAACAUCCACUGUCACAGCACUUCAACUGUUUCAAGGACCUCUAUUGUCGCAAGACCUCCUAUAUCAUGGUUAUAAGGACCUGCAUUGUCAAAAGACAUCCAUUGUCUAAGCCCUUCCACUUUCUCAGGAUCUCCAAGCUGCAGGAACUCUACUAGCACAGGUUAUCCAUUGACACUGCUUUUCCACUGUUGCAGGACCUCAACUGUUAUAAGGACCUCCACUAUGGCAGGACCUUCAGUGUCUCAACUCCUUCUCGGUCUCAGCAACACCAAUGUGCAGACCUCUACUAGCACAGGAUAUGCACAGUAUCUACACUUAUACUGUUGCAGUACCUUAACUGUUGCAGGACCUCCAAUUUAGAAGAUGUACUCUUUUAGCAGCCAGACUUUUGCAGGACCUCUACUGGCACAAUAAUUCCUCUGUUGUUGGACCUCCACCGUUAGUUCAAUGGCACUGACUCAUGACAUCCACUGUUGCAGGACCUCCAAUGUUGAAGGAUGUUCACUGUUGCAGGACAUUCCCUGUCAAAGGACCUCUGUUGAUGCAGGAUCUCCACUUUCACUGUUCUAGCAAACCAACUAUUGCAGAACCUACAUUGUUGGAACAACUGCAUUGUAUCAGGACAUUUACUGUUGCACGACCUGUAGUGUGGAAACACCCCCAUUUUUACCAGAUCUCAGCUGUCCCAGGCCCAUCUCCACUGACUGAGGACCUCCAAUAAUGCAGGACACCCAAUAUUUCAGGACCUCAAAUGUGCCAGGGCCUCCACUGAUGAAGGAUCUCCAAUAUCGCAGCACGAAAACAGUCACAGAACCUCCAUUGUCCCAUCACCUUUACUGUCCCAUCACCUCCACUCUCACAUGACCUACAAUGGUGCAUAAACUCCAAUGUCCGAGCAACUGCACUGUCUCAGGGCCUCGAUUGUUCCAGAACCUCCAGUGGGGCAGGACCUCCACUGUCACCAGAUCUCCACUGUCUUAGAACAUCCACUCUAUCACCAACUCGACUUGUGUAGAACCUCUCCUGGCAUAGCAUCUCCAUUGUGCCUGGUCUGACAUUGUCUCAAAACUUCAACUAUCACAGGAAUUCCACUAUAGCAGGACAUCCUCUGUCUAAAGACAACCCCUAUUGCAGGACCUUUACUGUGCAAAGAACUCCACUGUUGCAGGACAUCCAUUCUUGCAACACCUGCAUUGUCUCAGGAUCUCCACUGUACCAAUCCCAUCUCCAAUGUCUCAGGCCGCCCACUCUUUCAGGACCUCCACUGUUGCAUGAUCUUGAAUGUAAAAGGACCUUCGCUAUCUCAGUGCCUCCACUGUUGCAUGAAAUACAAUGUCUCUCAGUGCCUCCACUGUUGCAGGACCUACAAUGUCACGGGUGCAGUACUGUUUUAUCAACACCACUAUCACUUAUUACAAGGCUUUGCUGGUUAUUUAUUUUGAAGCUUAAUGGAGAAUGACGUUACAUUUGACAAAAUAAGAAUUUGUUCCAAACCUCUUGUGAUUAAUUGCCAUAUGUGCAAGGAUCAGUUGCCCCUAGAAGAUUGCAUGAAUCCAUAGCCCUCUAGACCUCACCUUGUGGGAACCCUUUACUUUCGGUGGUGAUACCGUCCCGGUAAAGGCAUGGGGUCAACAGGACAACUCUGAAGUCUGGGGUACACAUCAGUCAUAUUGAGUCCUUGUUCGGAAGAGGAGAAAUCUAGAAGAGGGAGAAAAAUUAUGGUGGAGGAAGAAUCAUACAGUACUUAAAAAGUUAAGACAGAAACGAUUUUGCAGAAAAGGAUACCAGAGACAGAGCUAAUCAACACAAAGCAAACUGGGUAGAACAAAGCACAAAGGUACCUGUCUAUGCCUGCCUGCUGCUUAUUCUUUGGAUGCUGUCUCCAGCCCUCAUUUCUCAGGAGAGAUACUGUCCUGUCCCAGGAGAGUUUUCUUGCUUGAUAGAGCACAGGAACACUGCUUCAUUUGGGUAUUCCUAAUUUCUUGGAGCAUCUGUUGAAUCCUCUUAGCCAGCCACUGAUGGAAACAGACUCGCCCUCUCCUCAUGCACAGAGAGAUAAUAGGUUUUCUUCUAUGUUCUCAUUGAUGCUUCUGUUCGGCCUAAGGCUGCUUGUUGAAUGAAGGAAGAAGACACUCUGGCAUGUAUGUUUUGUCCAGGUUAUCUGUAGUGGCCUGAGAAGAAAGCCAGUCCCCGUGGUUCUUCUGAAAGCUCUAUGACUAGAAUAUGGUCAAAGGCAUAAAUGAGGCCAUGUGGUUGACAAGUCCAAUGUGUCAAUGGUGGGUUGGUUUCCACUCCUCUGCAGUCCAGUCCUAGAGGGACAGCAGCAUAAUCAUCAAGGGUAGGGAAUAGAGCCAUUACUAGAAUCACUGUCUGAGCCUGGGUAUGAAGCCAGGCAUCAGAAUAGCCUGUCCUUCCAGUAAGCAGUUGGAUGCCAUGAUCCACUUAGACUUUCUUUGAUGUAAAGAAUCUUUAUGUCUUGUGUUUUGAAUGGAACAUGUUGCACUACUUACAAAAUUCCAGGGUGUGGCCUGAGAGGUAUCAUUUCUUCAUAGGGGUUUGUGAAACACUCCCAAUCUUCUUUGAAGCAGGGGUGCAUUAUCAUGUCUAUGACUGAUAUUUCUGGGUUUGACUGUUAUUAAAUGCUAAGCAGGUCAUCUAGCUCUCUUGACACCCCAUAGUGGUCAAGAUUCACACCUGCCACAACCUGUCUUUUCAGCUCUUAUAUGAAAAGAGAGGUAACAUUUUCAGCUACCAUAAAAUGUAAGACUCUAACAUUCAUAUGUGGUUCUUUGGAACAUUAUAAGUAUAACCCAGGAAGAGUUCAGGGGCAUCAAAAUGUUAGCACCGUAGUACGGGUUCAGCAUUUGCUCUGGUUUGUCUUGGGUACUAAGGCCAAUGUCGAUGAUUUUGACUUUAUUGUUCUUAUCCAACAUUUUAUUUGUUUUGAAGUCCUGUAUUUAUUCUGUGCCCCUGACAGUAGAUCCAGGCUGCUAAUAUCUACAUAAGUAUUUCCCAUACCUUGUCUUUCACUAUGUAGCCAUACUUUCGGAUACAUUUAUGAAGACAUUGAACCUCACCCAGCUCCAUGACAAGGUAUCUACUUGUUUUCAUGUCAAUUAUUGAAGAUGAUGUUGGAGUGGUUAACCACAAUUGUCAUCAUUGCCAUGGUCAUUAUUGGAUGGCAUAAGUGCUUCUUCCUCACAAGGACUUGGAGGCCACUGUAGCAGGACAUCCACUGUCUUAGCACCUACUUUUUCCCCCACACCUCCACUGUACUGACUGUCCAAGCCUAUGUUGUGUUGUGUUGCCCCUGAAUUUCCUGCCUUUGCAGAAGGAAGUACGAUGCCAUGGUCUGGUUAUAAUUUUGUUCAGUUGAAGUGUCCUUAGUGUCCAGCACUUGGAAUCCUAUAUAGGAUUCCAUUGCUCUUAUACUUACAGGGUCUGGCCUGAGGGGGAUCAUUUGCUCAUAGGGAUUUGGGAACCGCUUCUAGCCUUAGUUGAACUAGGGUUGCAUCAUGACCACAGUGACUUUUGGCCUAUAUCUAGGGUUGACUGUCAUUAGGAGGCUAAGUAGGUCCUUCUGACACCACACCAGAGGCACCACACACUCCUGCUACAACCUGUCUUCUCAACUCUAGAAUGAAGAGAGAGUCAAAUGGAAACUUUCUGACUGCCAUGAAAUAUAAAACUCCACCUAAGGUUCAAAUUUAGUUCUUUGGAACGUCAUAAAAUUUGCCAAAGAAGAGUUCAGGGACACCAAAGGUAUAAGUACUGCAGUGCUGGUUCAGCAUUUACCCUGGUUGGAAUGGGAUACUAAGGCCAAAGUUGAUAAUUUUGACUUUCCCAUUGAUAUACAACAUAAUAUUCUUCGGCUUCAGUUCCCUGUGAAAUAUUGUGCGCCCAUAGCAGUAGCUCAUCACAGCUAUUAUUUAUACAAUAUUUCCCUUGCCUUGCCUUGCUCUAUAUAGCCAUACUUUUGGGUGUAUUUGUAAAGCUGUUGCCCUUCAACCAGCUCCAUGAAGAGAUGUAUUGUUUUGGUCUAAAUUACUUGAAGAUUUGAGAUGAUGUUGGGGUGAUCAACCAUCAUCAUCACUGCCAUGGUCAUUGCUGGCUGGCAUUAUUUCUUCUCCUAUACAAGGACUUUGUUGGACACUGUCACAGGAACACCAGUGUGUUAGAAACUCUGUUGUCAAGUCAACUCCACAUUCUCAGGGCCUCCAAAUUGCAGGGCCUCUCCUGGUACAGGACAUAUACUUCCCCUGUACUUCUACUCUCAGAGAGUCUCAACUUUUCAGGACCUGAAUUAUUGUAGGACCUUCACUGUUGCAGAAAAUUGAUUCUGUCAGCAACUAGUAUGUUGCAGGACCUCAGCUCGCAGAGAAAUUCCACUGCUGCAGGACCUGCAAUGUCAAUGUAAAUCUAGAGUCUCAGGACCUCCAUUGUUGCAGGAUCUCCAGUGUUGUAGGACGUCCAAUGUUGCAGGACCUUCACUGUCAAAGGACCUCCUCUGUCACAGCCUAGCCCUUCAGACUUAUCUAUAAAACUAUUGGCAUUCAAGUAGCACCAUGACAAGGUAUUAUCUUGUCUCAGACUCAAUUACUUGCAUAGUGAAAUAAAGUUGGAGUGAUCAAAAAUCAUCAUCGUUACAAGCACUUUGAUGUGCACUGUAGCAAGACAUCCACUGUUCCAGUGUGGCUUCUGUCCCAGUACCUCCACUAUCACUGGACCUCCAGUGUCGUAGGACCUUCUCACUAACAGCGGCUGCAUUGUGAAGACCCUCAAUUUUCAGGACAUCUACUGUCACAGUAUGUGUACUGUUGCUGGACUUUCAUUGUCACAGCACCUAAACUGUCACAAGGUCAUCCAAUGUCACAGAGCAGUGUCUCAGCACCUCUACUCUCCCAGGACCCCACAGUCACAGGACCUCCAAUAACUCAGGAACUCUAAGUUCCAUUACCUCAAGUGGCACAGCGUGUCCACCCACUGAUGUCGGACUUUCACUGUGGUAACACCUCAACUGUCACAGGACACUCACUCUUGAACAACCUCCACUUUUGGAGGACAUCUAUUUUUCCUGAAACUAGAAUUGGCAGGACCUUCUCUGUCAUAGUACCUCUACUAUCCAAGCACUUCCACUAUCACAGGACCUCUAGUGCUGCAAGACUUUCACAAUUAUAGCAUUUCUCUUGUCGCCACACCUCUACUGGUUCUCCUACACCUGUACUGUCCCAUCACCUCCUAGGUCAAAGAUCCUGACUCGUGCAUCACUUAAAGUGUUUCAAGACCUCCACUGUAGCAGCAUAUCCACUGUCCCAGCUGCUACUCCACUGUCACAGGACCUGAACUGUCUUAGGAACUCCACUGUUACAGGACUUCAUCUGAUGAAGCACCUCAACUGUCACAGUACCUCCACUGUUGCAGUACCUCCAAACUCAGCCACUCCACUGUCACAAGUCUUCCAAUUUGAAGGAACUCGACUGUUGCAGCACCUCCACAGUUGUGGAAGCACCAUUGUUAUGGCACUUCCCCUGUCCUGGGACCUCCAUAGCUUCUACUCUAUAUUCUGAGGACCUCAACUGUUGAAGCACAUCCACUGUCCCAGGACCACUGACAAUGGACAUCACUGUGUCAGGAACACCACUUUUGCUUGGUCUGUCCCUAAAACCUCUGGGCUGGCACUUGCAGAGGACAGACUUUCUCCCUACAGAGGCAUACUAGGAGAGUAGAUUCUCUUCUGGGUUCUUAUUGCCAUUGUUCUUCUCAGUGAGGCUGAUUAUUUAGUGAAUUCAGGCGACACUGGAGGUUGGAUGCAUGUUUCUCCAGUGUGGGUGUCAUCUGGAGUGGCCUGAAGAGAGAAGGGCAGCACCAGGGGCUCUUAUGCCUAAUCUUGGACCAGUUUAUGGCCACAGGGAAACACAAGGCCAUUUCAGGAUGAUGAGACCAGUGUGCUUAGGGUGGGGUAGCUUCCACUCCUCUUGGCACAAAGGGAAUGAAUCAUUAGCAUCAAGGGUAGGGAAUAACUGAACUCAAUGUGUGAGCCUCUGUUGUUCAGCCUUGUACCUGGAGAACUUGCCAGGACAGUAGGCAACAUGAUCCCAUGGGUUGAUUAUACAUUGUAAUAUCUUGGGCUCUGGACUCAAUAUGUUCCAUGUCGUCCACAAUUACAGGGUCUAGUGUGAUGGAGCUCAGUCCUCAUAGGGAUUUGAGAAAGCCUUCCGGUCUUCCUUUAACCAGUGGUACAUCAUCACAUCAGUGACUCUCAUCCUAUAUUUCGUGUUGAGUAUCAUUAAGAGGCUAAGCAGGUUAUCCAUUUCUUCUAAUACCCAACAGGUGUCAGGAUACAGCUGCCACAACCAGUCUUUUCAAAUCUAGUAUGAAUACAGAGUAAAGACCUUAACUUUUUAAAUACCAUGUAAAACUAAGGUCCAUAUGUCAUUCUGUGGACUAUCAUAAAGUUUGAUGAGGAAGAGUUCAGGAGCUCCGAAAGAGAAAGCACCACAGUGCCAGUUCAGCAUUGCCCUGGUUCAACUUGGGCUCUAAGGCGAAAGUCUAUGAUUUUAACUUUUCCACUUAUGUCCAACAUAAUCUUAUAUGGUUUGAGUUCCCUAUGUAUUAUACCGUGCUCAUGGCAUUAGCUCACAGUUGCUCUUAUUUCCCUAAAUAUUUGCCUGACCUGGUACUCCUCUAGCUUACCCCCAUUUUCUGGUGUUUUCAUAAAAUGGUUGUCCUUCAAUGAGCUCUUAUUGGGGAAAUAAGAUGCUGUUCAGGUGGUAGGCCAUCAUCUGUGUCUCUGCCUUGGUCAUGAGUGCCUGGCACCAUUGCUUCUUUAGAAGCAUUUUGAUGGCCAUGGGGCUGAUGGUGUGCUAUUGGGACCUUGGCGUUGCUCCUGUGUCCCAUGGUCCUUAAGUCUUUGUAUUGACAGUGGAAGUUUACCUCCUCAGAGGUUCGGCUUGGGGCAAAAGUGUGGGAACUCCUCUUUCCUCUGUCUAAGCAUUGUAGCUAAAAAUACUACAAAUAUUCCCUAGAAAUAACCUAACAAGUAUAGAAUAAAAAUAAUGAAAAAGAUGUAGGGAAACUGAAGCUAAGAUCACUGCAUGGUUUAACUAAAAAUGAGCAAAAUGUCUUUAGGAUUUCUGUUUGUAUUUUUUGCUCUCUCAAGAGGACAGCCCUCUAGUGCAAUAGAUCACAUAUUCAGAUGAUGUGAAGUGAAAUAUUAAUUAAACAAAUAAUACCACAGCCUAUUAUAGGGCAAUGGAAGGAAAAGAUAGAUUGGAAUGUUUUGGAGAAGGGAGAGGAAGAUGACUAGAGAUGGAGGAAGCAGUCAAGAAGUAAAUGGGAGAGGAAGACGUUGAAAAUGGAGCAGACCCAUGUGGUUUGGAGAAGCCACAAGUAGCUAGUUAUUUCAUAAAUGGGCAAUAGAGUAGUGUAGUGGUGUAUUUGUCUAAUCUAAGCACUCAGGUUGUAAUUAUAUUGUUGAGUUUUCUGUUCUUUGCAUGGGACCUUUGGGGUUGGAGACUUACCCCUGUAAAUCUGGCUACUAUAGUCAUCUGGAGUUUUCAAUACAAAAGACUAAGGCAAGUCCUGUGAGAGGAGCAUUAGCCAACCUUCUUCAGGUCAGUCAGAGGGGGUAGAUGUGAUGAGAAAUGUAAGCAGUCCAGGUAUUUCAGUUAAAGUGGUUGGUUAGCAUAGCAAACUAGCAGCAGGAACCAGGACAAGAUGGAUGCAUAAAGCUAGCCAUGUGGCGUGAGCAUAAGCACUGCUUCCAGAGCAUAGCAAGAAUUAGUACUCCUAUGUUCUCAUUGUUGUUGUUGUUCUCACUGAGGCUGAUUAUUGAAUGAAAUGAGGCGAAACUGCUGGCAUGUUUGUAUGUUUGUCCUGUGUGCGUGUCAUCUGCAGUGGCCUGAAGAGAUGAAGGGCAGCACCAGUGGCUCUGCAGCCUACUCUUUGACAAGAUUAUGACCAAAGGGAGACACUACUCCUUUGGCAGAUGAUGAGACGAGUGUAUCUAGGGCGGGGUAGCUUCCACUCCUCUUCAGCCCGAAGGGAAUGCAUCAUCAUCAUCUUCUUCGUCGUCGUCGUCGUCGUCGUCGUCAUCAUCAUCAUCAUCAUCAUCAUCAUCAUCAUCAUCAAGGGUAGGGAAUAACUGGAUUCAAUGUGUUAGCCUCUGUUGUUCAGCCUUGCAUCAGGAGAACUUGCCCUUACAGUAAGCAACAUGAUCCCGCGGUUUGAUUAUACAUUGUAAUAUCUGAGUCUCUGAACCCAGUAUGUUCCAUUUCUUCCACAAUUGCAGGGUCUAGCCCGAGAGAGCUCAGUCCUUCAUAGGGAUUUGUGAAAGUGUUCCAGUCUUCCUUUAACUAGGGGUACAUCAUCACAUAUGUGAUGUCAACCUAUAUUUCGGGUUGACUAUCAUUAAGAGGCUAAGAGGUCCUCCAUUUCUUCUGACACCCCACCCGGGUUAGGAUAUAUAGUUGCCACAACUGGUAUUCUCAACUCUAGUAUGAAUACAGAGUAAAUUCUGAUUUUUUUUAACUACCAUGAAAUGUAAGAUUAAGGUCCACAUGUCAUUCUGUGGACUAUCAUAAAGUUUGCUGAGAAAGAGUUCAGGAGCUCCAAAAAAGAAAGCACCACAGUGCCAGUUCAGCAUUGCUCUGGUUCAACUUGGGUUCUAAGGCAAAAGUCUAUGAUUUUGACUUUUCCAUUUAUGUCCAACAUAAUCUUAUCUGGUUUGAGUUCCCUAUGUACUAUCCCGUGUUCAUGACCUUAGCUCACAGUUGUUCUUAUUUGCCUAAAUAUUUGCCUGCCCUCUUCCUUCUCUAGGUGGCCCCAUUUUCAGGUGUUAUGGCAAAGCUGUUGUCCUUCACCAAGCUCUUACUUGAGGAAGUAAGUCGCUGUUCAGGUUGUCGACCAUCAUUAUUGUCUCUGCCUUGGUCAUGAGUGGCUGGCACCAUUGCUUCUUUAGAAUCAGUUUGAUGACCAUGGGGCUGCCAGUGAGCUGAUGGUGUGGUAGUGGGACCUUGGCGUUGCUCCUAUGUCCCAUGGUCCUUAAGACAUCUCAUUGAGAGUGGAAGUUUCCCUCCUCAGAGAUUCUUCUCAGGUCUAGGGUGUUGUAACUCCUCCUUACUAUGUGUAAGCACUGUAGUUAAAAACUACAAAUAUUCCCUAGAAAUAACUUAAAACGAAUAGAAUAAAAAUAAUGAGAAAGAUGUAGUGAAUCAGAAGCUAAAAUCACUAUAUGUGUUAACUCAAAAUGAGCAAAAUGUCUUGUGGAUUGCUCUUUGUAUUUUUUGCUUUCUCAAGAGGGUGGACCUGUAGUACAGUAGAUCACAUAUUCAGAUGAUGUCAGGUGAAAUAGUAAUUAGCCAAAUCAAGGUUACAGCCUGUGAUUGGACAUUGGAAGGAAAAGGUAGAGCAGAAUGCAUUGGAAAAGGGAGAGAAAGAAGAAUAGAGAUGGAGGAUGUGGGCAAGAAGUAGAUGGAGGAGGAAGAGGUUGAAAAUGGAGCAGACCCCUGUGGCCUGGAGGAGCCACAAGUAGCUAGAGAUUUCAUAAAUGGGCAAUAGAGUAGUGUAGAGGUGUAUUUGCCCAAUCUAAUCACUCAGUUUGUCAUUAUAUUAUUGAGUUUUCUGUUCUUUGCAUGGGCCUUUUGGGUUUGGAGAUUUACCCUUGUAAAUCUGGCUUGUAUAAACCUCUGGUGUUUUCAUUUCAAAUGACUAAGGCAUGUCCUGUGAGAGGAACAUUACCCAGCCUUCUGCAGGCCAGCCAGAGGGUGUGGAUGGGAUGAGAAUUGCAACAGCACUCCAGGCACUUCAGUUAAAAUUUGUUUGGUUAAAGUAGCAAACUAACAGCAGGAACCAAGACAAGAUGGCUGCAUAGAACUAGCCAUGUAGGGUGAACCUAACCACUGAUACCAGAGCAUAGAAUGAAUUAGCAUGGGUUUAAUUUAAAACUACAUGCAAUAGAUGACAUUGAGUGUGGUAGUCAACAAUCCACUAGGGAGUUAAGAUUCUUGUCCUAGGGAUGAGAGAAUUAGAUUCCUGAAUGAGCAGAGAUGAGUCAAGGGACUCCAGCACAUGGGAAUCUUAAACACAGGGGUAGACAGACCCAAAUCAGGCUCUGAGUUCUCCUCCUGUAAAAAGAAUCAGUAUAAUGAAUGGCUCCAUGCAGAGAGGGAAAGUAAAGGGUGCAUGCUUUUACUGUGUGUACAGCCGUUCACUGGGAGUCGUACCAAUGGCCUUCCCCCAAGGAAGAAUGUAUUUCUAUCAGCUGUUGUUAACUGCAGCUCCUCAUUUGAUGCAAGGGGUUAUAAGUUCUUCCCCCACCCAUGCAUGAUGUGCAGACAAAUGCCACAUAUGUCACUUUAGUCGGUUAACAUAUACUAAUAAAAUGUUGUGGUGUUUUCAAAUUUAUAUGUAUAUAUAUUGUGCAUGUAUAAUGACACAUCGUAUAUACUCGUAGUGGCUAUUCCUGGUUGUGAACUUGACUAUAAGUGGAAUGAACUACAACCCAGAAUUGUAAAGCUCACCUUUGAUCCUGAUGUUGAGGCUGGGAGAUACAAGUUUCUGAACUGCAUCUUGUCAUGGAGAUCAUGAGGCAAAGUGGCUAUGAAUCUCAGGAGCUUAAGGCAAGGAGGUCUCUGAGUUCAAGGUUACCUAGGACAAAACAAGUCCCAGAUCCAGCUGUGGUGGUACUCACCUUUAAUCUGGGACUCACCUUCUGCUGGGGAUUUACAUAAGGACAUUGGAAGAAGGAAGAGUCUCUCUUUCGUCUGCCUGCCUGCCUUGUGGGACUGAGCCACUGCUUGAUCCUUGGACUCCCAUUCAUACCUGCUGCUGAUCAUGGUUGGGGAGUUGGACUACAGACUGCAAGUCAUCAACCGAUUGUCUCUGUGUACAGAGAUUACCCAUAAGUUCUGUGAUUCUAAAGAACCCUGUAUAAGACAGUUCUCUUUUAUAAUAUAUAAUUUCUAUUUAUAUACUUAUGUACAAUGUAAUUUAUUAUUUUAUUCAUAAUUUUAUUAUAUACAUCCAUAUAUCUAUAUGUAAAUAAAACACAGGUUGUAUGCCUAUGAAACAGUAACACACUGCAUACUUGAUGACUGCUGCCUUGUCCCUACUCCCUCCUGCAGGGGAGAAAAUGGACCAGUCUCACCAAUGAAAAAGGUAAACUAAAAUGUUAACAACUGGGUGGAAAUACACAUGGUGUGCAUAUAAAAUAACAUCUUCUUGAUUACUUCUUUAGAAAUUUUUCUUCAUUUCCUGAAGUCACUUUUUAUGAUACAUUAUUAUAUGAUAUACUAUCUCACAGUUAUUAAGGUAAGUUAUUUUUAUUGCUAGUACAAAAGUAUACACAUAAUAUUGUGCUAAUUCCAGUAAUGUCCGGGUACGGCUUCAUGCACAUGACUGCAUUGUACAAUAUUUCCCUAUGUGAUCCAAAGUACUUUUGUUGUUAUAUUAUGAUCUCUAACCAGAAUAUUGAUGAUCCUGAAAUUAUAUACCAUACCUAAGUAUUUUCUCAAACAUUUCAUUAGCUUUCCAUAGAAUGCUAUUGUAAGUGCAUUUGACUGUUCAGUUCCAGGGUAUGAAUUCCAGUAGAACACUUUCUUGAUAAUAUUUCCUUACAAAGUGCUGUUAACUGCUUCCUCCAAGAAGUUAAUUUCUUGUUCUGAAAUUUAAACCUUAUGUUUAAAUAGAAGAAAGAGAAGGCAGAUGCUGGAAUUUUUAGUACCAAGCUGGUUAUCUGUCCUGAUGUGGGUAAGGGCUGGUCACUUGAGGUGUUUCUCAUUCCUUUAGAUUUGCAGCUGUUUUCGACUUUAUAAAUAAUCAUUUUGAGUAUUCCGGGUCUAUGGACAUUUUCUGACCCAAUAUCCAUUUUUACAGGAGUAUUUGUCUUACAAGUUUGGAACCAUAAAAUAGAAACUUUCCCAACUAGUCAAGCUUCCAGGGUAUAUGUGGGUAGGAUUUUGCUCAUUUCCUGCUGUGUGAUUUCAUUGUGCUGUUCUGACCUUGUUUUUGCAUAGGGUGCUGGCCAUUAUAGACUGGAAAUCUAUGUUAAGUCCUGGUCCAAUGCGGUGUUGCAGAUGGGGCCAGUAUUUGUUUUAAAGGAAUCAGUGAAGGGCAUUCUGCACUCGAGCUUUGUGAAAAAGUGUGCAGAUGCUCAUGGCUGUGGAUGCUGUGUGUUGUGAAGAACACUGCAGUUCAUUGAAUAUGGUGUGAGGAAUGCUGCUGUGCACUGACUGUGUUGUGUGAGGAAUGCUGCUGUGCACUGACUGUGUGGUGUGAGGAAUGCUGCUGUGCACUGACUGUGUGGUGUGAGGAAUGCUGCUGUGCACUGACUGUGUGGUGUGAGGAAUGAGCUGUGCACUGACUGUGUGGUGUGAGGAAUGCUGCUGUGCACUGACUGUGUGGUGUGAGGAAUGCUGCUGUGCACUGACUGUGUGGUGUGAGGAAUGCUGCUGUGCACUGACUAUGUGCUGUGAGGAAUGCUGCUGUGCACUGACUGAAUGCUGUGAGGAAUGCUGCUGUGCACUGACUGUGUGGUGUGAGGAAUGCUGCUGUGCACUGACUGUGUGGUGUGAGGAUUGCUGCUGUGCACUGACUGUGUGCUGUGAGGAAUUCUGAUGUGCACUGACUGUGUGCUGUGAGGAAUGCUGCUGUGCAAUGACUGUGUGCUGUGAGGAAUGCUGCUGUGCGUUGAUGCUGUCUUUUUUCUUUUCUCCCUACACCUGCAUACUUCUGGUGGCUCAGGAUGGACAACUAGGUGCCCAUGACCAACUCCUCAUUGUGGAUGGAUUUAGUCUGGUUGGACUUUCUCAGGAAAGGUAUGACUAAUUGGUCACUUAAACACGUCGACUAAUUGCAACCAGGCUGAGGAACCUAAGCAGAAGUAUUCUGAACAUAGACUCCUCUAUGACAGUGAGCGCUGUUUCCUCAUAUUUUCUACCUAAGGCAGCUGAACUCAUGACUACAACCAUUUCCAUGGUUACCCUGGAAGUUGCACAUCAAGGCAUCCUCUCUCACUGCGUGUCCACCUUUCUUACCCAGCCAUUGUCCUCCAUGGUGGAGAGAGCCUCUUACCACUUCCAAGGAAGAACUUCAGGAAGAGUUUUACCUACUUGAGCUCCAUUGAGUAGAGGCUGGCAAGGGUCUCUAGUGUGACAGUGAUAUGUGGAUCCAGAGCUCCUCCGUGGAAUAUAUGACAUCCAGCCAGGAGCAACUGAACCCUUCCUCCAAGUCAGUUACCCCUGCUUCCACUCUGACUAAGAGUGGUCCUGGCCAUUGGAAAACCCUAGCAGAGGUGCUGUCCACCCCUGUGACUGUCUCCCAGCCCACAUGAACAGACCUCCCUCCACUACCUCCUCCACCACAUGUACAUUACACCAGAUUUUGGUGGCAUUUCAGUGGAUUAGCCACUCCCCCCUCCUUCUGCAAACGAGGCAGGAUCCCAGUCUGCUCACGUGGCUGCUGGCUAGCAAAAAAAGAGUGAGGAGCAGCAGUGGUGGUCUGAGAUAUAGAAGGCCUGCCUGGACAAGGAAGUAGAGAGGAAGCAUGGGGAGCAGGAGAGGAAAGAGCGACAGAUGCACUCUCAUUCCCUGAACCUGCUUCCUUCUCUUCUUUGACCACACCGGCCAAACCAGGAAAACCUUCCACGCUGCAGAGAACAGAACACCAAUGGUGCUCACAUAUUGAGAUCAACAAUUAAUAAAUGAAACUUGAUGAAACUGAAAA